ACCUAUGGCCAUACCACUCUGAACAUGCCUGAUCUCACCUGAUCAUGGAAGCUAAGCAGGUCGGGUCUGGUUAGUAUGUGGAUGGGAGAAAAUCAUGCUGCUCUUAAUU
ensembl:rRNA 5S_rRNA 5S ribosomal RNA